CCUACGGGGGGCAGCAGUGGGGAAUAUUGGACAAUGGGCGAAAGCCUGAUCCAGCCAUGCCGCGUGUGUGAAGAAGGCCUUCGGGUUGUAAAGCACUUUCAGUGGGGAAGAAAGCCUUGGGGCUAAUACCCUCGAGGAAGGACAUCACCCACAGAAGAAGCACCGGCUAACUCCGUGCCAGCAGCCGCGGUAAUACGGAGGGUGCGAGCGUUAAUCGGAAUUACUGGGCGUAAAGCGCGCGUAGGCGGUCUGAUAAGCCGGUUGUGAAAGCCCCGGGCUCAACCUGGGAACGGCAUCCGGAACUGUCAGGCUAGAGUGCAGGAGAGGAAGGUAGAAUUCCCGGUGUAGCGGUGAAAUGCGUAGAGAUCGGGAGGAAUACCAGUGGCGAAGGCGGCCUUCUGGACUGACACUGACGCUGAGGUGCGAAAGCGUGGGUAGCAAACAGGAUUAGAUACCCAUAGUC
rnacentral:rRNA from 1 species